GAAGUUCGUAUAUCCGUUCCGGAUUGGUUCUACAUUUAGCGACCUAAAUCUGCUUCCGGUAGUGACAGGAAAAUGGGCUUCGGCAGUUGGUGGUGUCUUAUUGAAAGAAAACUAAUGAAUUAUGAAUUAAACAGUAUGGGAUCAUAAAUAGAGAAGCUUACUGAAGAUGGGGACUUUCAAAUGAAGGAAAGUAAGGAAAGUGAAUGGGGUAUUCCAAGAAGUGAAGAAUCGAUUGUCAUGUGUUUGGAAUUCAAGAUAUUGUACAACUAUUCCCACAAGAAGAAGCAUUUCCUUACAGACUACCAUGUGGCAAUAUAAAUCCAAAGGACAAAUGAGGCCUAGUUAAAAGCCACUCUCCUGCAAAUUUAGUCUAUAUUGUUUGCAUACAAAAGGACUCAACCCAUUUACAUACUAAGGGAAAAACUCUGCUUGAAAACUUAGACUUAAGUGUCAUAUCUAAUACUCUUAUUACUCAAUUAUAGUGUAUUUAAUGUACUGAAUAGGCUAAUUUGAAUAAAUUCACAAUUGUUUAAAAGUUUUGUUUGUUUUUGUUCCUCCCUCCAUUGAAGGUUUUUGAACUUUGGAUGUGACGUUAAACAUAGAAUUAACUUUGAACUGCCGUAAGUAGUGUAACUCAUUGAAAAAAUGUUUGUGUCCCAUGGUUAUACUUAAUGCUAAAAAUGUUUUUGUCCCAUGGUUUUCUGCGAUGAAAAAACUCAUUGUCCCAUGCCUGUUUGUACCGGUCCCAUCAUUGUGAUAAAUUUUGCCU